rnacentral:rRNA from 1 species
UACAGAGGGGCAAGCGUUAUUCGGAAUUAUUGGGCGUAAAGGGCGCGUAGGCGGCCUGGCAAGUGGAAGGUGAAAUCCCUCGGCUUAACCGAGGAACUGCCCUCCAAACUGCUUGGCUUGAGUCCGGGAGAGGUGAGUGGAAUUCCCAGUGUAGCGGUGAAAUGCGUAGAUAUUGGGAGGAACACCAGUGGCGAAGGCGGCUCACUGGACCGGAACUGACGCUGAGGCGCGAAAGCGUGGGUAGCAAACAGG